UCUCCGUUGGUGAACCAGCGGAGGGAUCAUUAUCAAAAGUCAAGUCGGGGGCUGCAAAGCCUUCGUCUACACCCAUGUCUUUUGCGUACUUCUUGUUUCCUCGGUGGCGCAAGCCGCCGAUUGGACAAACCAAAACCUUUUUUGUAAUUGCAAUCAGCGUCUGAAAAUAAUCUAAUUAUUUACAACUUUCAACAACGGAUCUCUUGGUUCUG
rnacentral:misc_RNA from 1 species